UGGGGAAUCUUGCGCAAUGGGGGAAACCCUGACGCAGCAACGCCGCGUGAGUGAUGAAGGUCUUCGGAUCGUAAAGCUCUGUCGGUGGGAACGAUGGGUUUCGUGGCUAACAUCCACGAGACUUGACGGUACCCACAACGGAAGCACCGGCUAACUCUGUGCCAGCAGCCGCGGUAAUACGGAGGGUGCAAGCGUUGUCCGGAUUUAUUGGGUUUAAAGGGUGCGUAGGCGGCCCGUUAAGUCAGUGGUGAAAUCCUCCAGCUCAACUGGAGAACUGCCAUUGAUACUGACGGGCUUGAGUACAGACGAGGUUGGCGGAAUUGAUUGUGUAGCGGUGAAAUGCAUAGAUACAAUCAAGAACACCGAUUGCGUAGGCAGCUAACUAGGCUGUAACUGACGCUGAGGCACGAAAGCGUGGGGAGCGA
rnacentral:rRNA from 1 species